GCGCUGCACGCCUCAUUGUUUCGGGCAGCGCGGCGGCGGCUCCCGCGGCCAGAGGAACCGCGGCCCCGAGCCCCGGGGAGAGGCGGCGGUUCCCGGCCCACGCACCGAGGCUGCGCCGCGCCCCGCCCCCGAGCUCCGCUCGCCCCAGAGCCCCCUCCCUCUCCGCGAUCCCUUUCAUCCUUCCCGCUCCAGGCUCACCUAGCUGGCGGGAGCCGGGCACUGGGAAGUUGGGCUGCCCCCUCCCCGCGCCCCCGGCCCGGCAGCUCGGCCCGCCGGCGAGCGCAGGCGGGGCGCUCCCUGGCUGCGCGCGGAUUUCUGCUUGUCGCGGAGAGUGACUGCAGACUUGGGCUGCGUGGGGCGGUGCGGGGCAGCACGGCUGCCUAAAAAGGCGUGUUUCUCCCCGGCCGCCGCCUCCAUCCAGCCCUAGUUCUUCCGAAGGUUACCUGCACAGUACCCGCCUGGCACCGCGCCUGGACACCUCCGGGGCACUCGGGUCCCGGGCGGCGGCAGGAAUGCAGGAAUGCGCACAGGCUGUGGGCGGCCAGGAGGGAGUCCCGGCGCCUGCCCCGGCGGAAGCAGAAGGGAGACAAAUCAGAAAGUUACCAGAAGGACACCUAACUCCACUCCAAGACCUUGAGGAGGCUUUGAAGAUGGACUGAAGAGUAGUCAAGAAUUUUCCAUUUUAAAAAUAGUGCUAAGAGAACAAACAGCUCAUAUGUGAUGUUUCUUUGAUUACCUUUUCAAAGAUCUCUCCCUAACAAGCUAGCAAUAUAAUUAAUUAAAACCCACCUCAACUGCUGGGUAAUUUUCCCUUGAUUAGCCCUGCAAUUUGUUAUACAUCUCUCACAAAACCCUAAUCACUCUAAGGUGGAGCAGCCUGUACUGACGCACAAUUGCAGCAGAGUUGAAAACACCAUUCCAUUUCAGAAGUCUAAAUCCUACAGCAAUUUAAUUUUUUUUCAGUCAAUGAUAGAACUGGUAUAAAAUAGCUUUAGUUAUAGAAACUAAUGGAAAAUAAUGACGCUAAUAUAAGAGAUAUCAGAAGCAUGAAUACAAAGUAGAAACUUUGGACUAAUUUUUUUUUCAAAAACCUUACACAGUUUUUUAAAAGUAGUACUAGAUUGCCUCAUAUUUCUCUUGUUCAGCUCAAGUUAUUCCCCCCAGUAUAUUUCUAGGUCUCCAACACAGCUUAAAAUCAAUACAUGCUUCCCAAGAGUAUUCUUACAUGAUUGGGUUGAUCAUAAGUUAUAUAUUAAAUAGCACAAUUUAGAUAGCCAUAAAUGUCUUUUUUAUUGUUGUUGUUGUUUUGAGACGGAGUCUUGCUCUGUCACCCAGGCUGGAGUGCAGUGGUGUGAUCUCAGCUCACUGCAAGCUCCACCUCUCAGGUUCAUGCCAUUCUCCCGCUUCAACCUCCCUAGUAGCUGGUAUUACAGGAGCCCACCACCACGCCCGGCUAAUUUUGUUUUUGUAUUUUUAGUAGAGAUGGAGUUUCACCAUGUUAGCCAGGAUGGUCUCGAUCUCCUGACCUCGUGAUCUACCACCUUGGCCUCCCAAAGUGUUGGGAUUACAGGCAUGAGCCACCACGCCUGGCCUAGAUAUCCAUAAAUUUCUUAAUUCAAAAAAUAAACAAAACUGAAAAAAAUACCAAAGUAAACUGCAUUACAUUACAUGCAAGAAAUAAUUUUUAAAUUUUUGAGUGACUUGGCUAGGGGAACUAAUUAUCUUGUGACAUGUAGAAAUAUGAGAGGGAAAGAAUCAAUUUCUUCUACCCUUUCAGUUCAGCUUAACUUAUGGUGGCAGUAUUGAUGAGACAUAAUGAAUAAUUUGUUCUGAAAAGGUUAGCACUUUUUAAAAUGUGCCCUUUUUUUCUAGUUUACAUGCUGAUAUAGUUUGGAUGUUGUCCCCUCUGAAUCUCAUGUUGAAAUUUAAUCCUCAGUGGUAGAGGUGGGGCCUGGUGGGAAGUUUUUGGGUCAUGGGGACAGAUACCUCUUGUUGAGUGCUGUCUUCUGAUAGUGAGUGAAUUCUCAAGAGAUCUGGUUGUUUAGAAGUGUGCGGCAUCUUCCCCAACUCUCUCUCGUGCUCCUGGUCUGGCCGUGUGAUGCACCCACCCUGCUUAACCUUCUCUCAUGAGUAAAAGCUCCCUGAAGCUUCCCCAGAAGCUGAGCAGAUGCUGACGCCAGGCUUCUACAGCCUGCAGAAUCGCAAGCCAGUAAACCUCUUUUGUUUAUAAAUUGCCCAGCCUCAGGCAUUUAUUUAUAGCAAUGCAAGGAUGGUCUGACACACGUGGGUGGUGGAGGAUGCUCCGGAUGCUCCUAUCUAUGAGUCAUUGAGAGAUGAUAAGAGGAAAAAUACAUAUAAGUUCAUGAUUUUCCUACUGUUGAGAAUGGUAACGUCCAUGGAAGAAUGCUCUAGAAGGCACAGUCCAAAGAUGUCAGCAUGGGCUGGCCACAUGCAGGCAGGUUCUUGGGGCCACAGGCCUCUAUGUGUGGCCAGGGGCUCUGGGGGUGCUCAAGGCCCUGUCCAAAGGGCUGGUGGAGUCAGAUGUAUUAUUUUUGUAAUACUACUAAGUGUCAUUUGCCUUUUUCACUCGCUAUCUCUCGUGAGGCAACGUGGAUUUUCUUGAGGUUGUAGCAUGUGAUACUGCAGCAGAGUGACUGCACAUGCAGCCAUGAGGAUCUACCUGUUUUUUAAGCCAGACAUUAAAACAGUUUGCAAAAGUGAGAAAUGAUGUGAUUCAUCUCAUGAGAUUUUAAAAAAUAGAGUGACUUUUCCAGCAAAAUAUGUGCUUUCAGUUAGCAUGUGCAGUAUUCCUCCCUUAAACUUGGUUUUUGUUUUGGAGGUUUUAGUUACCUGCAGAAAUGGUCCAUCACUGUCUGAAAAUAGUCAAUGGAAAAUUCCAGAAAUAAAAAAUUUCUAAGUGUUAA